UGCCCAGCAAAUCCUAUCCCUACCUCCUCGUGGUACUGGCCGGGGUACGAGUAACCUUGGGGAAGAUCGGGUAACCAACCCCCGGUGGGAACUUUGGUCGUAUGCUGACAGGGAAGG
rfam:Aedes aegypti strain Liverpool supercont1.710 genomic scaffold, whole genome shotgun sequence.